UGGGGAAUAUUGCACAAUGGGCGCAAGCCUGAUGCAGCCAUGCCGCGUGUGUGAAGAAGGCCUUCGGGUUGUAAAGCACUUUCAGCGAGGAGGAAGGUGGUGAGCUUAAUACGCUCAUCAAUUGACGUUACUCGCAGAAGAAGCACCGGCUAACUCCGUGCCAGCAGCCGCGGUAAUACGGAGGGUGCAAGCGUUAAUCGGAAUUACUGGGCGUAAAGCGCACGCAGGCGGUUUGUUAAGUCAGAUGUGAAAUCCCCGGGCUCAACCUGGGAACUGCAUUUGAAACUGGCAAGCUAGAGUCUCGUAGAGGGGGGUAGAAUUCCAGGUGUAGCGGUGAAAUGCGUAGAGAUCUGGAGGAAUACCGGUGGCGAAGGCGGCCCCCUGGACGAAGACUGACGCUCAGGUGCGAAAAGCGUGGGGAGCAAAACAGGAUUAGAUACCCUGGUAGUCCAGCGCUGUAAACGAUGUCGAUUUUGGAGGUUGUGCCCUUGAGGCGUGGCUUCCGGGGCUAACGCGUUAAAUCGACCGCCUGGGGAGUACGGCCGCAAGGUUAAAACUUAAAUGAAUU
rnacentral:rRNA from 1 species